CUGAGGUGAAGUUCUGUUAUACACUCAGACUGUGACUCCAGGGAAGUCAGUGCAUCACAGAACUUUGUCUCGGG
rfam:Lepisosteus oculatus linkage group LG4, whole genome shotgun sequence.